ACGGAAGGCAGCAGUGGGGAAUAUUGGACAAUGGGGGAAACCCUGAUCCAGCGACGCCGCGUGAGUGAAGAAGUAUUUCGGUAUGUAAAGCUCUAUCAGCAGGGAAGAUGAUGACGGUACCUGACUAAGAAGCCCCGGCUAACUACGUGCCAGCAGCCGCGGUAAUACGUAGGGGGCAAGCGUUAUCCGGAUUUACUGGGUGUAAAGGGAGCGUAGGCGGCCGCGCAAGUCAGGUGUGAAAACCCGGGGCUUAACUCCGGGACUGCACUUGAAACUGUGAGGCUGGAGUACGGGAGAGGCAAGUGGAAUUCCUAGUGUAGCGGUGAAAUGCGUAGAUAUUGGGAGGAACACCAGUGGCGAAGGCGGCUUACUGGACGAUUACUGACGCUGAGGCUCGAAAGCGUGGGGAGCAAACAGGAUUAGAUACCCUGGUA
rnacentral:rRNA from 1 species